UCGAUGGGUAGAGGCUGCAGCCUUCAUCAGUAGAAUGUGCGAGUUUGACCGCGUUGACCACAUUCGAAAGGGAAGCUUGCCGAAAUCACCGUUUCCGGGUCAGGGGAGCGGCGAUUGGGGACAUUUCGAACAGGAAUGCCACUGUCAUUUGCAGUGAGUUGCAGAUGGAGAGCUACAGGGUUG
rnacentral:ncRNA from 1 species